AGCUGACAAGGAUGAGCCACAAAAAAGGAAUUUGAUAUUCGAUGACCCACAAUUUCAUAAGAAGAUCACAAAAAUCGCAGCAUAAAUAGCUUCAGAAUGGUAAACGAAACAGAAUUUUGGACCGAAAUUCGAAAAACUAUACCGCAGUACAAAAAAAGAAAACCGAGAGUUGUUCCAGCUUUUACGAUUCAAGCUUUGCAGGAGAAUACUGUUGUUGCAAAACCUCGUCGAUAUGAAUUGUACAAACCUCAACUACCAAAACCAUCGACUUUUCGGAAAUUCUAUGAAGAAGGCGUAUUUCCAAUUUCGUUGGAAAAUGAUAUUUAUGGGACGAAACUCAGCUGGAAAGUUAACAUCGAGGACCUAGAUUUCCAUCAUUAUUUACCAUUGUUUUUUGAUGGAUUGACUGAAACUGAACAACCUUAUAAAUUUUUGGUGGAACAAGGGAUAUCUGAUAUGUUGGAACACGGUGGUCCAAAAAUUUUACCUGUUGUACCGCAAUUAAUAAUUCCUAUCAAGAAAGCUUUGAAUACAAAAAUGCCAGAAAUUAUUUGCGCUACAAUGAAAGCUCUUCAGAAACUUGUACGUUCUGGUGAUUGUGUCGGGGAAGCUUUAGUGCCAUAUUUUAGACAAAUUUUACCAGUUCUUAAUUUAUUAAAAGAUAAAAAUGGUAAGAGGUUUCUUUAUAUUAACCCUUUGCACUCGAAAAGUGACUCUCCAUCACCACUAGAUGAUCUUUAGGUUCAAUUUCUUUGGAAUUCGAAGUGUCAAUAAAAUGAUUGUCAUUGAGGCAAAGUCCUGAUUUUCAAAUCUCAAAUUAGAGAUCUCACUUUCGAAGUCAAUAUAAUCUUAGCAUUCAUGAUAAUAGAAUCCUAAAAAAGCAUCUCAAGUUGCUGACACAUACCAGAAAAAAAGGCCUAGAGUCCAAAGAGUUAAUAUUAUAUUAAAUUAGUUUGAAGAAUUGAAUAAUACAAUAAUCAUCAAUCUUGGAGAAGGAAUUGACUAUUCGCAACAGAGAGGAGAAAAUGCUGCGGACAUGAUACAAGAAACUCUUGAAAUGCUGGAAAUAUAUGGAGGCGAAGAUGCUUUUAUAAAU